UACGUAGGGUGCAAGCGUUGUCCGGAUUUAUUGGGCGUAAAGAGCUCGUAGGCGGUUUAGCAAGUCGGGUGUGAAAACUUCAGGCUCAACCUGGAGAUGCCACUCGAGACUGCUAUGACUUGAGUCUGGUAGGGGAGCACGGAAUUCCUGGUGUAGCGGUGAAAUGCGCAGAUAUCAGGAGGAACACCGGUGGCGAAGGCGGUGCUCUGGGCCAGUACUGACGCUGAGACGCGAAAGCGUGGGGAGCGAACAGG
rnacentral:rRNA from 1 species